ACUUUAAAUCAGUUCGAGGCUCCUCGAACUUCUCAUAGCCUUGGCACGCGUCUGUUGGUCAAUUAGAGACAGAAGACAGCAAUGAAUGUAGAACUCCGAGUUUUUUUGUGAAACGAGACUUAAACCUGUUCCCCCUUGCUGUCUCGUCCACUCAUCGUGGGUUUAAAGCAGCAAGAACUUCAAAACCUUGAACUGCGACAAGUUUGGCAAACAAGUCACAGGAUCCAAAUAGCAAUGAAAGGGCAUGAAAAUAAAUACAUUCAAUGUGAACAGUGUCGUUCAGUGCAAAAAAUUUAAAACGGAGACUCAUGGUUAUUCUAACCACGUUUCCGUGCUGGUGAGAACGAAAAGAUACCAAGAAGCCGAAAAGAAUGGAAAUUUGUGAUCAAAAAAACUUUCGUUUCUUUCCAAGUUGAAACUGGGUUAACGGUUUCUGUAGGAAUCUAAUCUAGGAACAAUAAAUCUUUUACCAAGCUGAUUAAAUCCUGAGGCACGCUUCCGAGUAGCUUAACCCUGGGUUAACAGCCUCUUCAAAGAUUCCAUGUAUUGUUGUAUUGUCCUCAUAUUUGAGAAAAUGUCAAUCAUCACCCCGAUCUAAAAAGUCGCAAACUGUCUGCUUUUGGGCGUGGUUAUGGCGAACCUCAUGGACGGUUUUCAUAAAAAAGGCUUAUAGUGGCUACGACAUACUCAACUUUCAAUUUUUUUAAAGCUACCGCUCUAUUUUACCAUGCUUCUAUGUCCUGAUACAAACACCAGAAGUUCUAAGAACUAGCAAUUAUUAUAUUAUCGUGUUGAAAAUCGUGUUACCCAAAAUUUAAAACUGUUUCGACAUACUGAAACCCUUCACACUUGUACGAGUGAAUUUUUUAGUUUCGUACAACUUUCACCUUGAUAUUAUUACUGUACAAGGCACCUUUAUAUUCCUGGGUCGGUCAUGGAUGCAGAUUGUGUUGGUGCUUGCAAUCUCAGCUGCCAUUCAAGUCUUUAAAAUAAGGGUCUUAAAUUACGAUCCGCUAUCAGCUGUAAGGUUCAAAGUUGUUUCAACUGGUUUUCAUCCAAGUUAAUGAUUUAGGUAAGCAUAAGAUUGUGACCUCUGGGAAUAAUUCCAAAAUGAAACACGCAAUAAGUGUUU